UCUUAAAAAAGGACGCAUGCUUACCCAAAACUGCAGUUGCCGAACCAGUCCAGACUCUAGGAUGCAGGACACCAAGACGCAGCGAAUAUCAGAUACCAGCGGCUCUGGUGUGCCCGCCACCGCCCAAGAAGAAACCCUGUUAUGCGAAGCAAAGAAGGAACCCUCCAAAGGAAGGAUAUUUUCAGCCUCCUGAUCUUGAAGCAAUCUUGCUGAAUAUUGCAGCAAGAAGGGAAGCUUGUGCUUGACCAGCUAGCUAGCUGUGUGCAACAACUGUGAAGUAAGGUGGCUUUUAUUUUUUAAUUACGUAACUAGUUUUGUAUACUUGUAGCUUGUUGAGAUCCUUGGAUUACAUCAUCUUUCUCUAAUUGAAGAUAAACUGCCAAUCCCUAGAAGGAAAACUACUUGUUUGUUAGCAGGAUUGUGGCUAGCUAGGCUAGUAAUUAGAAACAUGUUCUAUUCUUGCACUCUGUUUCUCAGGUUCUUAAACUUUCAUACGAUGGAUGUCUAUCACUCUUGCUAUAUAUAAUGGUUCCUCUUCACUCA